GGAGGAUCGUCCGUCUGAAGAAUAUU
rnacentral:rRNA from 1 species